rnacentral:rRNA from 1 species
AGAGUUUGAUCAUGGCUCAGAUUGAACGCUGGCGGCAGGCCUAACACAUGCAAGUCGAGCGGUAGCACAGAGAGCUUGCUCUCGGGUGACGAGCGGCGGACGGGUGAGUAAUGUCUGGGAAACUGCCUGAUGGAGGGGGAUAACUACUGGAAACGGUAGCUAAUACCGCAUAAUGUCGCAAGACCAAAGUGGGGGACCUUCGGGCCUCAUGCCAUCAGAUGUGCCCAGAUGGGAUUAGCUGGUAGGUGGGGUAACGGCUCACCUAGGCGACGAUCCCUAGCUGGUCUGAGAGGAUGACCAGCCACACUGGAACUGAGACACGGUCCAGACUCCUACGGGAGGCAGCAGUGGGGAAUAUUGCACAAUGGGCGCAAGCCUGAUGCAGCCAUGCCGCGUGUGUGAAGAAGGCCUUCGGGUUGUAAAGCACUUUCAGCGGGGAGGAAGGCGAUAAGGUUAAUAACCUUGUCGAUUGACGUUACCCGCAGAAGAAGCACCGGCUAACUCCGUGCCAGCAGCCGCGGUAAUACGGAGGGUGCAAGCGUUAAUCGGAAUUACUGGGCGUAAAGCGCACGCAGGCGGUCUGUCAAGUCGGAUGUGAAAUCCCCGGGCUCAACCUGGGAACUGCAUUCGAAACUGGCAGGCUAGAGUCUUGUAGAGGGGGGUAGAAUUCCAGGUGUAGCGGUGAAAUGCGUAGAGAUCUGGAGGAAUACCGGUGGCGAAGGCGGCCCCCUGGACAAAAGACUGACGCUCAGGUGCGAAAGCGUGGGGAGCAAACAGGAUUAGAUACCCUGGUAGUCCACGCUGUAAACGAUGUCGAUUUGGAGGUUGUGCCCUUGAGGCGUGGCUUCCGGAGCUAACGCGUUAAAUCGACCGCCUGGGGAGUACGGCCGCAAGGUUAAAACUCAAAUGAAUUGACGGGGGCCCGCACAAGCGGUGGAGCAUGUGGUUUAAUUCGAUGCAACGCGAAGAACCUUACCUGGUCUUGACAUCCACAGAACUUUCCAGAGAUGGAUUGGUGCCUUCGGGAACUGUGAGACAGGUGCUGCAUGGCUGUCGUCAGCUCGUGUUGUGAAAUGUUGGGUUAAGUCCCGCAACGAGCGCAACCCUUAUCCUUUGUUGCCAGCGGUUAGGCCGGGAACUCAAAGGAGACUGCCAGUGAUAAACUGGAGGAAGGUGGGGAUGACGUCAAGUCAUCAUGGCCUUACGACCAGGGCUACACACGUGCUACAAUGGCAUAUACAAAGAGAAGCGACCUCGCGAGAGCAAGCGGACCUCAUAAAGUAUGUCGUAGUCCGGAUUGGAGUCUGCAACUCGACUCCAUGAAGUCGGAAUCGCUAGUAAUCGUAGAUCAGAAUGCUACGGUGAAUACGUUCCCGGGCCUUGUACACACCGCCCGUCACACCAUGGGAGUGGGUUGCAAAAGAAGUAGGUAGCUUAACCUUCGGGAGGGCGCUUACCACUUUGUGAUUCAUGACUGGGGUGAAGUCGUAACAAGGUAACCGUAGGGGAACCUGCGGUUGGAUCACCU